rnacentral:rRNA from 1 species
CCAAACUGUUGCCUCGGCGGGAUCUCUGCCCCGGGUGCGUCGCAGCCCCGGACCAAGGCGCCCGCCGGAGGACCAACCAAAACUCUUUUUGUAUACCCCCUCGCGGGUUUUUUUUUUAUAAUCUGAGCCUUCUCGGCGCCUCUCGUAGGCGUUUCGAAAAUGAAUCAAAACUUUCAACAACGGAUCUCUUGGUUCUGGCAUCGAUGAAAAACGCAGCGAAAUGCGAUAAGUAAUGUGAAUUGCAAAAUUCAGUGAAUCAUCGAAUCUUUGAACGCACAUUGCGCCCGCCAGUAUUCUGGCGGGCAUGCCUGUCCAAGCGUCAUUUCAACCCUCGAACCCCUCCGGGGGGUCGGCGUUGGGGAUCGGCCCUGCCUCUUGGCGGUGGCCGUCUCCGAAAUACAGUGGCGGUCUCGCCGCAGCCUCUCCUGCGCAGUAGUUUGCACACUCGCAUCGGGAGCGCGGCGCGUCCACAGCCGUUAAACACCCAACUUCUGAAAUGUUGACCUCGGAUCAGGUAGGAAUACCCGCUGAACUUAAGCAUAUCAAUAAGCGGAGGAA